rnacentral:lncRNA from 1 species
UGGCUCCAAAGUGGUGCCCUGGGAGAUGAGGGCGACUCGCAGAUUCCACCCUAUUCUCUGAAUGGGCUUCGAGUCUCCAUGGUGGUGGUUGUGAGAAUUAAGGGAACCUCAGAGCAAUGGCCAGCACACAAUGACCCUUCAAAUGUCAGCGGCUUUGAUGAUCACCAUUCUUACCUUUUCUUUGGAGAUUUGGACAAGUUACCGCCCCACCUUCCUCCAGGGUCUUUGUGUAUUGAUCUGCAGGUUGGAUGUAUUGGAUGUUACGACCACUAAACUUUCUUCUGAGCACA